rnacentral:rRNA from 1 species
CGCCUGUUUAACAAAAACAUGUCUUUUUGAUAAUGAUUUAAAGUCUAGUCUGCCCACUGUUUUAAUGAAGGGCCGCGGUAUUUUAACUGUGCAAAGGUAGCAUAAUAAUUAGUUUUUUUAUUGAAAACUGGAAUGAAUGGCUGGACGAGAGAAAUAGUGUCUCAAUAAAAAUUAAUGAAUUUUAUUUUUAAGUGAAAAAGCUUAAAUAAUUUUAAAAGACGAGAAGACCCUAUAGAGUUUUACAUAAAGUUUUUAAUAAAUAAUUAGUAUUUUUUGUUAUUAAAAAUGUUUUUGUUUAGCUGGGGUGGCUUUAAAAUUGAUUUAACUUUUAUAGAUAAAAACACUUAUUUGUGAUUAUUUGAUCCAUAUUUUUGAUUAAAAGAUUUAAUUACCUUAGGGAUAACAGCGUAAUCUUUCUUUAGAGUUCAAAUUAAUAGAAGGGAUUGCGACCUCGAUGUUGGAUUAA